rnacentral:tRNA from 1 species
GCCCGGCUAGUUCAGCCCGUAGAGCGUGAGACUCUCAACCUCAGGGUCGUUGGUUCGGGCCCCACAUUGGGCG